GAAUGCCGCGGUGAAUACGUUCCCGGGUCUUGUACACACCGCCCGUCACACCAUGGGAGUCGGAAAUGCCCGAACGUCUGUGACCCAACCUACGGGAGGGAGCAGCCGAAGGCAGGUCGGAUGACUGGGGUGAAGUCGUAACAAGGUAGC
rnacentral:rRNA from 1 species